AGAGAGUCGUUACGCGCACGGGAACAGUAAAACCCUCUCCUCUCUCGUCCCAUCCAAUUUGCUUCCUUGCCGAUGGGAUCCUCCGCAAGCCAGGCAUCCAUCCCGUCCCGCCAAUCGGUCCCGAGGUGUCGCUCCCUCCGGAGUAGGACGAGAAGCCGAGGCCCAGAAAGUCGACCGACUGGUUGAAUCUUCCCUGCCUCGUUCCCUUCGAGCGGAUACAACGAGAGGCACUCGUUUUGUGUUAAUAAUCGACUGAUGGAUUACAAACUUGGAUUUGGUAUGACCAUACGAGAGUGAAGCUUCCUAUAUAAUUUCUCCAGAAGAUGGAAUGGAAAUUUAUCUGGCUGCUGGGUUUCGUGGUCGCCUCAGCAUACCAUGUCUGAGACCUCCUCAUUUCAUAGCUGCCAAGCUCAUGCUGAAGAUAUGGUGAGCUUUGCUGGUGAUGUGGGUCACACACAGCACAAGCAUCUGGUACUUCCUCAGACCCAGUAAACCCCACGUUUUAAACUUGCAUGGCUGGAAUCAGCCGACAAAAGUGCCAACCUGUCAUCACUCGUGGGUAACAUCAAGCACCAGUUGAAUUUAAUUAUAUUUUUUUAUAAUAAAUUUAUCAUGUAUAUAUUUUUAUAAAAAGAUAAAUCUUAAAGAUAAAAUUCAAACUUAGACUGUGUGAUAAUCUGUUAAAAUCUUUAUGAGAUUUAAUUCUAUGAUAAAUUA